rnacentral:rRNA from 1 species
UACGUAGGGAGCGAGCGUUGUCCGGAAUUACUGGGUGUAAAGGGAGCGUAGGCGGGACGGUAAGUCAGAUGUGAAAGGUGGAAGCUUAACUUCCAAGCUGCAUUUGAAACUGCUGUUCUUGAGUGAAGUAGAGGUAAGCGGAAUUCCUGGUGUAGCGGUGAAAUGCGUAGAUAUCAGGAGGAACACCGGUGGCGAAGGCGGCUUACUGGGCUUUUACUGACGCUGAGGCUCGAAAGCGUGGGUAGCAAACAGG